rnacentral:lncRNA from 1 species
CUUCUUGAGAAAGAGACGAAACGUCUUUUGCAGAAGUUGCCAGUUUUGAAUUUGAAGUUAAAACUACCGAUUCUUUGAUGAGGUCUAGGUAGAAUCUAGGAUUGUAAUUGAUCUGCUCCCUUUGCUUUGAGUGUUUACCUAUACCUUCAUCCAACAGUUAAGCAAUAAUGAAUACGGAGAAUCGGAAUUUUCCAGCUAGGCCUCCUCCUCCUCCGUUCUCCUCCUCUCCUUUCGCAUCUGCUCCGCCGCCAGGUGUUGUUCCACCUCAAUCCGGUGGACCAGAGGCGGUUGGCUUUAGACCACCUGCAAGGCCUUUCACACCUUCUGGUCCUCCUAUGGCUCCACCAGCGGGUGUGAUGAGGCCUGGCCAACCUCCUUUGGUUUCUCAGCUUCCAGGGAGUAGACCUCCACCGCCAUCAGCUUAUGGUCCUCCCGGUGGUGGUGGUUCUUUUCAGCGGUUUCCAACCCCUCCUCCUAGUGGUGUACCACCACCACCUCAAACUCUUGCAGGUCACUUAUCGCCUCCCAUGUCUUUUCGCCCACAGCAACCAAUGGCUCCUGUUACAAUGGGACCUCCUCCACAGAGUAUGACUUCUGGAAUACCUGGAGGGUUUGCUUCUCCCUCUGGUCCUGGUUUUCAACAGUCCAUGCCUGGUGGUCCACAGCCAUCUUAUCCUGGUUAUCCCAGUAAUCAGGUCUUACGGGGUCCCCCAAAGCCGUUCCAGUCUCCAUCUCAGGGUCCUCCGUCUGCAGUCUCAUCGUAUCCUCCUCAGACAGGAGGUUUUGCUCAGCACCCAGGACAGCAGAACAUGCAUCCAAGCUAUGCUCCUCCUCCUACCAGUAACGUUCAAGGCUUGGUUGAAGAUUUCAAUUCGCUGUCCCUUUCAAAUAUUCCGGGGUCGCUUGAGCCAGGACUUGAUCAUACCUCGUUCCCAAGGCCAUUGGAUGGUGACGUGGAGCCGAGUUCGUUUGCUGAAGCGUACCCUAUGAAUUGCCAUUCUAGAUAUCUGCGGCUGACAACUAAUGCGAUUCCAAAUUCACAGUCUCUGGCGUCGAGGUGGCAUUUGCCUCUAGGAGCUGUUGUUUGUCCACUUGCUGAGGCUCCUGAAGGGGUUAGUAUUUGCCAAACUAAUAAUCAAGUCUUUUAAAUUCUUUCAUGUUUUGAUAAUCUGGAACUAUUCACCUACUAUAUAUGAGCAUAUAACUUUUCCCUUAUUUUGAAAAUUGUCGUUUUAUCUGUUCAGGAGGAAGUGCCAUUAAUUGAUUUUGGUUCAAGUGGCAUCAUCCGCUGCAGAAGAUGCCGUACCUAUGUGAAUCCUUAUGUUACUUUCACAGAUUCUGGAAGAAAGUGGCGGUGUAAUAUUUGUUCUAUGCUUAAUGAGGGUAAUUUUUCCGAAUCUCCAGGAUUAGUGUUGUUAACCAAUGUGAUAUAGAACGUUGUUGUUGAUUGAAUAUGCCUUGUCUAAUGGUCGUGCAGUUUCUUUCUCUCUGAUUUUUCUUAAUCGUUAGUUUUUCCCAGUUGUCUUUGUCUAAUCUGUCCUAGUAGAAUUAUCGUAAAUGGAUUUGGUGAAAGCUACAAGGAACUGUUUUUGGUGUUAUGUAUGCUUUUUUCUGUUGUUGUGGAAUGUCAUCCCUGUCAAUAUACCUGUACAUCUGAUAUGAACUUCUCCCAGUCACUGGAAUGUCCUUUCCAUAAACUAUUUGAGAGAUGGCUUUACGUCAGUACAUGCAGGCAUAUGUUUAUAAGAUGAAUAUUCAUGGUUAUGGGUCUAAUGUUUUGUUCAGUGCCUGGUGAAUACUUCUCACAUUUGGAUGCUACUGGCCGAAGAAUGGACUUGGAUCAAAGGCUUGAGCUGACAAAGGGCAGUGUUGAAAUUAUUGCUCCAACAGAAUACAUGGUUCGGCCUCCGAUGCCACCAAUUUACUUCUUCCUCAUUGAUGUAUCAUUUUCUGCUACUAAAAGUGGGAUGCUCGAGGUAAGCAUGUUGGAUUUUAAUAUUCCACCUUGUAAUUUGUUGUGCAAUACCUUAGUUAGUAAGAACCAAUCCAUGUCUGCUUUUAUCUGAAUACACUACGUAUCGAUGGAUCUUGACUAGAUUAGACAUGCUGUCCCCUGUAGAGGCAUGCUGUGAAACUUUGAUCUUAUGCUGACCCUUUUUUCUCCUUUGGCAGGUUGCUACUCAAACGAUUAAGUCUUGUUUAGAUAACCUUCCUGGUUAUCCCAGAACUCAAAUUGGAUUUAUUACUUACGACAGCACUUUACAUUUUUAUAACAUGAAGGUAACAUAAUUGUAAAUUCAGUGGAUUUUUUUGUUCUGAAAUACUCUAGCCUUAAUCGCGUAUUUUUAUUGGACCUGGGUAAUGCAGUCAUCUUUGAGUCAGCCGCAAAUGAUGGUCGUUUCUGAUUUAGAUGAUAUAUUUGUCCCAUUACCGGAUGAUCUCCUUGUCAAUCUGUCUGAGUCUAGAAAUGUAGUGGAAGCCUUUUUGGACAGUCUGCCUCUGAUGUUUCAAAAUAAUGUCAAUGUGGAAUCGGCUUUUGGUCCAGCCCUCAAAGCGGCGUACAUGGUUAUGGUUAGUUACUGUGCUGCCAUGUCAAAUGAAAAUCAAAUAAUUCAUUUGAUGUGAGAGUCCUAUAUGGAAGCUCAUCUGGAAUUUGUAUCAGUUUGUAGUUGACUCUGUUUUCUCUUUCUAUUUCAGAACCAACUUGGUGGCAAGUUGCUAAUUUUCCAGAACUCGUUACCUUCUCUUGGUGUUGGGCGGUUAAAGUUGCGCGGAGAUGAUCCUCGUGUCUAUGGAACUGACAAAGAAUAUACUUUAAGAGUAGCUGAAGACACCUUCUAUAAGCAAAUGGCUGCCGAUUCGUCUGCUUCGGCGCAGAUGAUUUCUCCUCUGCUUCUUCUUCUGAAUCAUCAUCAUUUUCGUCGUCUUCCUCGUCUGCUUCUGCAGCUUCCUGCGCCGCGACGGCUUCUCUCGCAGACAUCUGCCUUUCGUCCUCGAACUUAACCACCGGAUGACGGAGGAUCCUAUCGUCUUCGCCGUCACCGUGAUCUCUGACGGAAUCGUGGCGUGAGAACUGCGGCUUGAAGCUCCUCGACGGGGGUCCGUCUCCAGGGAUGCUUACGUCGGGGAGAUCGUCCGGGUUUUUACUCGACCCGACCCGCAUUGAAGAUCCGCGCGUGAACAUCCCGCGUCCUGAAGAGCCAGGUGGAUCCGACAUUGGGGAUUGCGUAGAAUAAACAGACGGAGUUUGAACGGAACGCUGCUCCGAGGUGUUUGGGAUUGGGGAUAAGGAUAUCCGAGGCGAGGAUAUGCAGACGAGGUCCAAGCAGAACCGGUUCGUUCAAUAACAACGGUCGAUAAAGGAGAAUACAGGUUAGCUCUUUCUACAAACUAUAAUGGAAAUGUACCUCUUGCAUCGAAUUAGAGAGUGUUGAAUAACGUUUUAGCUAUGGAUUGCUUAGACUGAAAAUUCUAAAAUUUUGAUCAUUUGUUAGUUUUUGUGUUUCUUUUGGUAAUUUGUUUAUCUUUUCUUUUAAAUUUUCUAUUAACUUUUUUCGUUUUUUUGUUCUUGCCUCCUUAAUUUGGAAGAAAUUUUUGUGGCUAUAAGUGUUUUUAAAAUGCAGAACCAGGGGUAUGGAGGAACGAGUCUUAAGGUGGAAGAAAAUGAUCUAAAUUAAGGAUGGUUCCACAAUUUUGUGACAAGAGCUAUCCACUUUCCUUAUUUAUUGAUGAUCAAUCUUUUUUUAUUACAAGGCUGACAAAUUACCAGGUUAGUGAAUUUUUGCAUGAAGAGACAAAAUGUACAUGGAUCUACUGAAAUGCUUUUUCUAUGAGACUUCCAACCUUUCAUCAUGAAAAUUUAACUAACAAAAAAAUUAACUAAUGUUAGCCUUUUAUAAAGGAGUCUUGGCCAUUUUACAUUAAAUUUAUCUAAUCAUGGUUCUGACGUGAUAAAAGAUAAUAUUCAUGCUUUAUCACCAACAAAUUGACAGUGGUUUGUUUUCCUAUCAAGUGAGUAAUCUACGAAUGAAUAGGUAGUAGUGACAAAGUUUUGUUUUCUUGAGAUAUAUUUGUAAUAGUAUAUUUGCAAUUACGAAAAUCAAAAGAGUCAAUAUGUCCGAGUGGUUAAGGAGACAGACUUGAAAUCUGUUGGGCUUCGCCCGCGCAGGUUCGAACCCUGCUGUUGACGAUAUUUUUGAAAUUUGUUUUUUAUUCAAUACAAACCAUAGUUGUAAACGACAAAACUAGCCUAAUCUUUUUGCAAUGAUAAGCCCAAUUCUUGGCCCAUUAUCAAUACCACAUCGUCUCCUUCGCCGCGCAAUGUUACGUGUCAAAUCUUCUUAGAGGUCACGAUCUGAAUCCGAUCGCUGCUGUAGAAUCAGUUUCGUGCUCCGCAGAUUCUCGAGCUUCCUCUCUCUCUGUCUCUCACUUGAGGUAGGUUAGGUAGUCUUCGCUCUGUAACCAUUUAUCAAAAUUGAUCUCAGUUUAGAAUUCUUUAAGCUCAUAUUCAACGGUGAUUGAUCCAGAUCUUCCCGAGCUCCAGAAGAAGGGAUCGGAGAGAAAGAGAGUUUCUACGUUUCUCGAUCUGAAUCAUAGUAAAAGAUCUCUUCUUGAGAAAGAGACGAAACGUCUUUUGCAGAAGUUGCCAGUUUUGAAUUUGAAGUUAAAACUACCGAUUCUUUGAUGAGGUCUAGGUAGAAUCUAGGAUUGUAAUUGAUCUGCUCCCUUUGCUUUGAGUGUUUACCUAUACCUUCAUCCAACAGUUAAGCAAUAAUGAAUACGGAGAAUCGGAAUUUUCCAGCUAGGCCUCCUCCUCCUCCGUUCUCCUCCUCUCCUUUCGCAUCUGCUCCGCCGCCAGGUGUUGUUCCACCUCAAUCCGGUGGACCAGAGGCGGUUGGC